rnacentral:misc_RNA from 1 species
AAUUGACGCACACGCUCUCUCGUUCUCUCCUGAUCUACUCCCCCUUCCCUCCCCUCUAGCAAGCAAACGUUUUAUAUUAGUAAUUUUUUUUCGGUUUCUGUUGGUGCCGUGUCGUCUGUGUCUGUGUCUUUACCUUAUCAUCAUUAACUUACAGGCGUGUGUGUGCGUGCGUGACUCGAUCUGUCUCCCAACACCACCACCGUCACCCCCUCGCUCUCUUCUUUCGCGCCAUACGACUCUAAUUCUUCCGAAAAAAGAAAACGCACGCAGGGAGGAAGUCGCUCAUUUUUAGCUAGCUAGCUGCCUUUUUUUCUCGUUUCCAUUGUAUGUAGUUGUGCUGGCGCUCUCACCGUCUCAGCCCUCCUCCUCUUCCGUCCUUCCUGCUCCCUCGGUAGCGUCUCGUCAUACCUGCCCGCCAUCAGGCCCGCUAGUCGCCCGUCCCCCAAAAGAUGCGCCGUCUCCUCCCCCUGCGACCGGCAGCUGUUGCCUUCGCCGGCUCUACUCGUCACUCCUCCGUGGCAAUGCAGGACAAGCAACCGAAGCUGCCGAACUUCAACGACGACACAACCUACCGCCAGCGCUCGGCAUGGUACUUGAUAAAGGCGUUGGUGGUGCUUCGCCUCUGCAGUGUCAACUAUUUGGCAAUGAACUCGGUGCCGCUGAUGAAGAGAGUGGAAAAGAUCCUUGGCAGCAAGCUUACCUACAGCGUCCUCGUCAAGAAGUCCUUCUACAACUACUUCUGCGCGGGCGAGAACGACCAGGAGCUGCGCGACACGGUGCACAAGCUUUCCCGCAACAACAUCGGCGCUGUACUCGACUACGCGGCGGAGGCCGACACGGAGGGCUUCGCACCGGAGCCGGGUGUGGCGUCCGGCCCCGAUAUUUCGAUGUCUAGUCUCGUUACGAAGCCCAAUGUUCAGUACCCGAUGGACGAGGGGUUCUUUAACGAGAACAUGAAGCUCUACAUGAUGAGCAUCAUGCACGCCUCGCUGUACAGCCCGCGAAACGCCGCCGGUGUAACCGCUGUUAAGGUGACCGGCAUGUGUGACCCUCAGCUGCUUGCACGCGUAUCGGCGCUGCUCAUGUCCGUUCACCAGAGCUGGUGCAAGCACUUCACGAACGAGGAGUCGCUGAAGCUGGAGGAGUGCCGCGUCGUCAUGGGUGUGAACCGCAAGCACCAGCUGUUCAUCACCUACGAUCAGCUGCGCGCCGGCUUCGAGAAGUACAACCCCUCUAACAAGCUGUCAGAUGCCCAGUUCAAGGAGAUUACGGAGGCCCUGGACCCCCGCAAGAUGGGCAAGGUGAACUACUUUGAGUACAAGGAGAUGCUGACGAAUGCCCUCAUCGCCGUAGAGCCGACGCCGGUGCAGCAGGCGCUGAUUGAGGGACUGCCGCAAAUGAGUGCAAAGGAGAAGGAGCUGUGGAAAAACGUCAACAACCGACUCUCGUUGAUCGCCUCCAUGGCGAAGGAGCUCAAUGUCCGCAUGCUUGUCGACGCGGAGCAGACCUUUUAUCAGCUGGCCAUCGACGCGAUCGUGGCGACCCUACAGAAAACCUACAACACGGAGCUGCCGGUGGUGUACAACACAUACCAGUGCUACCUGACAUACGCAGAGGACCGCAUUGACAACGACCUUGUACGCGCUCGCCACAUGAACUUCCACUGGGGCGGCAAGAUCGUGCGCGGCGCCUACAUUGUGCAAGAGCGCGCGACGGCGGCCCAGUACGGCUACACCAGCCCCAUCUGGCCUACCUACGAGGAGACAAACAAGUGCUACAAUGCGGCCGCGAAGCGCAUCUUCGACACCUUCGAGGCGCAGCCAGCGAAAAAGCACGAGGUCUUCUUUGGCACCCACAACAAGGAGUCUCUAGAGAUUAUCACGGCCAGCGUCUUGGAACGGCCGGGCAUCCAGUCUCGCGUGUCCUUUGGACAACUAUUUGGGAUGCGCGACAACCUGACGGUGCCCCUUGCCCGCGCCGGCUUUCAGGUCUACAAGUACGUGCCGUACGGCCCCGUGAAGGAGACGAUCCACUACCUCGGCCGCCGCGCCGUGGAGAACUCGUCGAUCUUGACAACCGGCGACAACGAGACGGUGAUGAUGAUCAAGGAGCUGAAGCGCCGAUGCGGUUUUUAAUCGGAGACUGACUCGCACACACGCACACGCAUGUGCGGUGGCAAGACAAAGAAGGCGUCACAAAGUCAACGGAAGCAGAGAAGGAGCCGCUUCUUCUCGCUUCUCUGUGUUUCACGCGUGCGUAAACGUCUGCAUCUAACCCUGUGUUGCCUCUCCGCCCCCCCCCCCCGCCCCCGACUUCCUCCUCUCCCUUCGUUUCGCCCUUUUGUGGUUGGUGCUACCCCUCGUCGUUGUCUUCUUGUGGCUUGCACGGAUGCCAUCUCGACUCCGAUUCCGUUUUUUUUUUGUUUGUUUUGAGGGGAAGAGAAGGGAGAAGAGGUUGAGGAGGGAAUACCAAAGCAAAAUAAGCGAAGGAAUCGAGGGAUCGGAGAGGAGGAAAAGUGUGAGAUAAAUUAAAAAGAGAGAAGUAAGCGCUGCGCGGAAAGGACGGCAGUGGUUGUGUCGAGUGGGGCGAAAGAAAAAAAAACUGCAUGGCAUUGCAGCUGCACGUUUCCUUUUAUUUUUUCCUUUGGUUUCCCUCUCUCCUUUCUGUUUUUCGGUUGUUUCGCACACCCUCCGUAUGUGUGCAUGUGGAGUUUCGCGUACGCACCGCGCUCGCUCUCUCUCAUCCUUUCCCCUUUCAGUUCUCCUCUUUUUUGUCUUCGUUUUUGUAGCCUCCCCUCUCCUCCUUUCUUGUCAACAUUUGCGCGUAUAUAUAUAUAUACAUAUAUCUGAUAUAUGUAUAUGCCAGUGAUACAGUAACCACUAUCAGAAACGAAAGAGAGCACCAGCGCAUAUCACACACGCUCACAGAAAGGGCGCACACAUCUAAAACGUCUAAGCCUGCGCAACGAAGCACAGUAGCCUCUAAAAUGUAUAAAAAAAAACGAAAAGAGGCCUUCAUGAACCUCAAGGCGAAGUGCACGGACACACAAGUACGCCCCUCCUCUGUUUCAGUCGUCUUCUGUGUUUAUUUCGUUUCGUCUACGUUUGUUGUGCUCUUUGUUUGUACGCACUUCUGGACGGGUCUGAUUCUCUCUUUUUUGGUGUUGUUUCUUCUUCGUAUUUGUGUGUGCGUGUGUGUUGUUGCUGUUGUGCAUGUGUGCGCGUGCGCAUCUCUGUUUCUCCGUCUAAUGAUUCUCGGUAGGCCUUUUUUUCGUUGUUUGUUUGCUUUGCAUGUUGGCUGUGAAACAAGAACCCUCCCCCCCCCCUCAGCGCUGCCUCGAUGUAAGCGAAGUGGCAUGUACACACGUACACGUGCGCAAACAAGGUUCUCACUCCACCGCCUAAGCAAAUGUUCAAAGCCUGGAGCGUGUGAAACUACUUAGCCCCUUCUUUUUCAAAAUGCUCACACGCAUCUGUGUUGUUUCAUCGUUUGUUUGCUUACCCUCUGAAUGAUUCGCUCGCUCUCCCCUCUCAGGCACUCAUUCGCUUUUUUUUCUCUUUUGUUUUCCCUUUUUUUUUCCUUGUAUGUGCCUGCGUGUGUCGGUGUUGCUGACGCUGGUGGCGAUGCAUCUUUGAAGAUGAGCGUAUGUGGAAUGAAUCCGAUACACAUGAAGCCCCCCUCUCUCUGCGUGCGCGUGCGAUCUACUGUGCUUGAAGUGAGCAAUGAAAUAGACAAAACACGAAAGGUGAGGCGGUCUUUUUCUGCUGAGAACGUUACACAUGUGUGGACUUUUGGGGGAGGAGAAAACAACAGAAGGCAAAGAACUGAACAACAACGAAAAAAAAAGAACGAGAGCUGAAAAAAAAAAGAAAAAGUGUACACGACAAGUUAAGUAAACGGGAUAGAAAGCAAACCAAAACGAAAAAAAAACUAAAUGCGUCGCUUUCUCUCGUCAUGUCUCUUGUUUUUUUUUGUUGCUGCUGUUUUUUGUUUUGUGUAGCUUCUUUGGUCUCGUGUUGUUCCCCUCUUCACUGGUGGGAGUUGCCCCUCUCCUCUUCCAGUGUCUCUUCUCAGUGUAUCACUCGCGACUUGUUUUGGUUUUGCUUUGCGUUUCUCUUGUCUGUUUGUGUGUUGCGCUACGGAAAAGAAUGGUGAAGUGAAUUAAAAAAAAACUGAAACGUAAAUAAAGCAAGCUGUCUGUUAUUAGAGUGUUGUUAGCUGCUUUUUCUUCUUCUGACUGUCGUUAUUCUCUAUUAUCUUCUCGCACUUUCUUCUGCCGUCAUUGACGUGUGUGUGUGUGUGUGUGUGUGUGUGUGUGUGUGUGUGGCACUCUCACACGCCUCCUCUCAUUUCUUUUUCUCCCUCUCGGCACGUCUUCUUGUUUGGUUGCAUAUGACUAGACUAUCUUUUUGUUGUUUGUUUGCUUCUUCUUUCUUUUAAAGGGGUCUAUCCCGGUCACCUCUCUCCCUCUCUCUUGUCCCCGCCUUUCCUUCAGAUGCGUCGGUGUCCGUGCGUGCGCCUAUGUGUGUUUGUGUCUUCCCUCCUCUCCACUUUUCAUCAUCCUCUCUCCUGACCUACACUCGUCCAUUAGUGAUCGUCCCACGCACGCACACACACACACAAGCUCCCAUAAGUUUGUCUUCAAGAAGCGACUUCAAGCAAGGACUGUGAGAGGUGAUAAUGAAUUCGCUUUUUGUUGUUGUUGCCUCUUCCUCGCAUUCUCAGGGGGGGGGGAUAAAACAACCCUCUCACGUCUUUCUCUUCUCGAGUGCUGCAUGUGUGUAUGGACAAAGGGAGCGUGUGUGCGUGAGCAACACGAACCGGUGCACGUAAGGUGGAUAUGUGUGGAUGGGUGUAUGCCGUAGUCGUUUUCAUGUAGACCCAAGCUUGCUUAGGCGCAUAUACGUGCACAAGCAGGAUCACCGUCUAGUGCGUUGCCUGGCAUGUGUCGGUAACUUUCUUCGGCAGCGAACUCAGUCCAAAACACAAAGGCUGUCUAAGCGCUGCUGCCACAAGCACUAACACAGCCACUGUACCGCUCACGUUCACUCACGCACAUCGGCCCUCUCGACUCGAAACCUCAGCGCCAAUACAAUCACCUGUUUCUCUUUCUUUUCCUCUGUUCGUGUCGUUUUGCUGCUUCACUUGAAGCGUUCCCCUCACCACCGCCACCCCUCAUCCCGCUCUCUUUCUCUCUACGUGCAUGUAUAUGUGUGUGUGCGCUCCGAUUGCCUCUUGAGCGUCUCCGUUUUCGUAUUUCCAUCACUUCCAAGAAAUGGCAGUAUAUGCGUUUUCCUAAUUCUUUCAUUUCUAUAUAUAUAUAUAUAUAUAUAUGUGCGUGUGUGCAUGGGCGUGGACGUGUCAGUCUUUUUGCCUCUAUUUGAGUUGUGGCGGAGGACUUGUCAUUGUAGGAGCAUGUGAACGUUUCCUUUGUUGUUGCCAUUUCAGCCGCCAUUCGAAGUGACCCGCCCCCUCCCCACUGUGUGGCAUCCGGCUGAGAUGUCGUUCUCCUUCGUUUUUUCUUUUGUCUGUUUGGUUUCGUUCGCGUUCAUUUCUUCCCCUCCCCCCUCCCCAUCUACCUGCGGCUCCAUCCCAGCGUGACUUGGCUGGGGAAACAAAUACAGACGGAGAGAACACGUCACUGCAACUGUGUCGAGUAGAGGAUUUCCGCGCAUGCAGUGGUGCUUCACGUUCCACACGGAGAGAAGUGUCUCUCUAGAUAAUCCGGUGCGCAUACGCAUGUAUCCGUUUGUGGGUGUAUAUGUCUUUGUCCAGCGCAGUGGACAGGAAUGUGGAGCAGCAUAACAAAAUCACACAAGGCCGUCAUCUGAUUCUUCCACCCCUCCACCUCUACCUCCUUUUUCUCCUAGCCAGCAGCCACCAUCUUUCAUCAUCUGCGUCUCUUCUUUGGAGACGGAUGUGCAUUAUACGAGAGCG